CCCGCAACGAGCGCAACCCUCGCCCUUAGUUGCCAUCAUUCAGUUGGGCACUCUAAGGGGACUGCCGGUGAUAAGCCGAGAGGAAGGUGGGGAUGACGUCAAGUCCUCAUGGCCCUUACGGGCUGGGCUACACACGUGCUACAAUGGUGGUGACAGUGGGCAGCGAGACCGCGAGGUCGAGCUAAUCUCCAAAAACCAUCUCAGUUCGGAUUGCACUCUGCAACUCGGGUGCAUGAAGUUGGAAUCGCUAGUAAUCGCAGAUCAGCAUGCUGCGGUGAAUACGUUCCCGGGCCUUGUACACACCGCCCGUCACACCAUGGGAGUUGGUUCUACCCGAAGGCGCUGCGCUAACCGCAAGGAGGCAGGCGACCACGGUAGGGUCAGCGACUGGGGUGAAGUCGUAACAAGGUAGCCGUAGGGGAACCUGCGGCUGGAUCACCUCCUUUCUAAG
rnacentral:rRNA from 1 species